GACAGAGGGUGCAAACGUUGUUCGGAAUUACUGGGCGUAAAGCGCGUGUAGGCGGCCAUGCAAGUCGGAUGUGAAAGCCCUCGGCUCAACCGGGGAAGUGCACUCGAAACUGCAAGGCUAGAGUCUCGGAGAGGAUCGUGGAAUUCUCGGUGUAGAGGUGAAAUUCGUAGAUAUCCGGAGGAACACCGGUGGCGAAGGCGGCUUCCUGGACCGACACUGACGCUGAGGCGCGAAAGCUAGGGGAGCAAACGGG
rnacentral:rRNA from 1 species